AUGAAAUUUUACACCCAAAUCUUAUCUUAAUUCAACAUCGAGGUCGCAAACCUUUUCAUCGAUAUGAACUCUCCGAAAAGAUUACGCUGUUAUCCCUAAGGUAAGUUAAUCUUGUAAUCAAAAAUUCUGGAUCAAAAAAACAUAAAUUAAUGAAAAAAAAUAUUAAAAGUUAAAUAAAUUUUAAUGUCACCCCAACAAAACUUUAUAUUCUAAAAAAUUAUUUAAUAAACAAAAAAUAAAAAUUAAUAAAUAAAGUAAACUUCUAUAGGGUCUUCUCGUCCUAUAAAAAAAUUUUAGCUUUUUAACUAAAAAAUUAAAUUCAAAAUAAUUAGAAAAAGAAAGACUAUUUUUCAUCAAACCAUUCAUACUAGCCUUCAAUUAAAAGACAAAUGAUUAUGCUACCUUCGUACAGUUAAAAUACCGCAGCCUUUUAAUUCUAAAAAAUCAAUGGGCAGGCCUGAUCUU
rnacentral:rRNA from 1 species